rnacentral:rRNA from 1 species
GACGAACGCUGGCGGCGUGCUUAACACAUGCAAGUCGAACGGUGAAGCGCCUUCCUUUUUGGUGGGUGUGGAUGAGUGGCGAACGGGUGAGUAACACGUGAGUAACCUGCCCCCUUCUUCUGGAUAACCGCAUGAAAGUGUGGCUAAUACGGGAUAUUCUGGGUCUGUCGCAUGAUGGGUCUGGGAAAGAUAUUGUUUCGGUGGGGGAUGGGCUCGCGGCCUAUCAGCUUGUUGGUGGGGUGAUGGCCUACCAAGGCGGUGACGGGUAGCCGGCCUGAGAGGGUGGACGGUCACACUGGGACUGAGACACGGCCCAGACUCCUACGGGAGGCAGCAGUGGGGAAUAUUGCACAAUGGGCGCAAGCCUGAUGCAGCGACGCCGCGUGAGGGAUGGAGGCCUUCGGGUUGGGAACCUCUUUCGCCAGUGAAGCAGGCCUGCCUCGUUUGUGGGUGGGUUGACGGUAGUUGGAUAAGAAGCGCCGGCUAACUACGU